rnacentral:rRNA from 1 species
GACGAACGCUGGCGGCGUGCUUAACACAUGCAAGUCGAACGGAAAGGCCCUGCUGUUUGGGGGUGCCCGAGUGGCGAACGGGUGAGUAACAAGUGGGUAACCUGCUCUUGACUGUGGGAUAACUUCAGGAAACUGGGGCUAAUACCGGAUAGGAGCUCCUACUGCAUGGUGGGGGUUGGAAAGUUUCGGCGGUUGGGGAUGGACUGGCGGCUUAUCAGGUUGUUGGUGGGGUAGUGGCUUACCAAGGCUAUGACGGGUAGCCGGCCUGAGAGGGUGACCGGCCACAUUGGGACUGAGGUACGGCCCAGUCUCCUACGGGAGGCAGCAGUGGGAAAUAUUGCACAAUGGGCGGAAGCCUGAUGCAGCAACGCCGCGUGCGGAAUGACGGCCUUCGAGUUGUAAACCGCUUUCGCCUGAGACGAAGCGUGAGUGACGGUAAUGGGUAAAGAAGCACCGGCUAACUACGUG